GACGAGGAGGAGGCCUGGCAACACGCCGACGUUCCUAUAGGAGUCAGGAAACAUCGCUUCCAGCUGGCAUUUGAAGCUCGCGCUGUGAAAGUUCAGCCCUUUGCUUGGAUCAAAGUGAGGAACGUUCGCUUCAUCAGUUGCCACGCSGACUACACUCCGUCUUUACCGACAGGGCCGUCAUGUAACUUCGAGGACGGACUCUGCGCUUGGUAUCAGGACAACAGUGA